UAUUUAUUCUUUCGUAUUUUACAUACAUUAAAAAAUAGCAAAAUCCACAAAAUAAUGUAAAAAAGAUAGUUUUUAAAGCUUUCUCUGUAUAUUUGAAGCGUGCAACAUAUUAUACAUUAUAAUCACAUGGCAACACUGCCAAACUUCAAAUCAACGUUCUAUGAAAAUCUAAUGUGGCUAACUUCUCGGACCAUCCAAUUUAAUGAAGUCCCGAUUUUUGAAGAUGUUAACAUUUUAAUCUUAUAGGAAAACCAGCCGACUUAAUCGAUAAUAACAAUCUCCAGAUUGGGUUCCUUCAAUAAAUAUGGGCUAUAACACUAUGAAAACACAAUGAAAUAAGUUCCCCAAAAUCUAAAAUGGAGUGGUAUCAAAGGAGAAUUAAAGGAAAAAAUAUUCAUAUUGAAAUUAUUUAUAAGGCACUGGACUGUCUUAAAUUCUACAAUAAUACUAGAAUCAGCUGAGAGAAGUGGUCUACAAAAAACCAGGAAGGAAACGGAAUAUGUGGCUACGAAAGGCAAAAGAAAGGUUUACAAAGCAAAUGUGACACAUUUUUUUGAAAUAUUUAGGAAUAUCAGUAAAUUGCAUUAAAAGAAUGUAUGAAAAGAUUUUGUUCAAUAAAAAUGUUUAUAUUUA